rnacentral:snRNA from 1 species
CUAACUGUCGCUCGCAGUGUUCUUUUCAGUUUAAUCUCUGAAAGAGGUCUAUUGACCUCAAUCGUGAUUAUUCCAAUUUUUAUCACUGCGGAGUGUGUCCUCUGUGCUUGCACAUGACCACACCGACCGUGUCCCUGAUAUUACACUGCCUUCAGGUGAUGCGAAUCUCG